CUUGCAGAUUGUGAACCAGAUGAACACCAGAGCCAUACUACUGUCGUCACAUCUAGAGAUAUUUAAGUUCUUCGUUCAAGGUGGAUUUCCAACAUAGCAUAGCUAUUUGCCUAGUGCUUUAAAAGCUGGUGAAUUGAUGGAGGCUUCCUCUUUACAGGCAUUAUAAUAGUGAAUUCAUUAAACCAUUUUUAAGUUUUGUCCUUAGCCUUGAUGUUAUUCAUCUAAGUUUACUUGAACUGAGAUAUUUUGCUUAUAAUUUGUAGUAAUAUUGUGUUGUAAUAAUUAAUAUUAUGCAUUUUGUCUCUCUAGCUGUUUUUUCCCUUGUAUUUUAUAUUUUGAAGUUACUUUUUGUAUACUAAUGAUUUUAUGACAUAGCUUAAGCUAGAUCAGAGAGAAAUAUGAAUGAAUUAUGUGGAUAUCUAUCUGAAUGGAAUAUCCCAUAUAUUGUCAUGGUAAUGCAUCUCCAUUGUUCAACUAGAUUUUUUCCAUCAAUAUUUCUCACCAUCCCUUGUUUCUUAUAAACAUCAAUAUCAUCAAAAUUAGAACAAUAAGUUGUAUAUAUAUUGUUGUUGUUGCUGUAGGAUGCUGACCACAUGGUUGUUGACCACAAUAUCAGUGAUGUUAUUAAUCCACGAUGUUGUUGUUGUCUGUCUCCCCAAGAUAAACUAAAACAACUAGUUCUUGCUUUAGGAUUCAGAAACAUCAGAGGGUUUGCGAUGAAUUCAAGGCUAACAAUGAAUUAUUGGUCGACACUUUGUUUUACGCCCUUUUGCAAGCACAUUAAGGAGCAGCUAAAUUAGAGAUAGGUUGCAAUUUUUUUGUAAAGAAAUGAGCAUAUUUGUUCCACUACAACUAGUCACGAAUAAAGUGUAACUUUGAAAUAUAGCGGUUGUAUUUCUCAUUACUAUGAGAUAAUUUAAUUGUACAUAUACUAUAAUAUAUUUAUA